CCAGGAAUUGCACUACUAGGUACUUAUCCAAAGGAUACAAACCUAGUGAUUCAAAGGGGCACCUGCACCCCAAUAUUCAUAGAAGCAAUGUCCACAAUAGCCAAACUAUGGAAAGAUCCCAGAUGUCCAUUGACAGAUGAAUGGAUAAGAUGUGGGGUGUGUAUACACACACACACACACACACACACACACACACACACACACAAUGGAACAUUACGCAGCCAUCAAAAAUGAAAUCUUGCCGUUUGCAAAGACAUGGAUGGAACUAGAGGGUAUUAUGCUAAGCAAAAUAAGUCAGAGAAAGGCAAUUAUCACAUGAUCUCACUCGUGGAAUUUUAGAAACAAAACAGAGGAUCAUAAGGGAAGGGAAGGAAAAAUAAAGAAGAAAUCGGGGAGAAAAACCAUAAGAGACUCUUAAUCUCAGGAAACAAACUCAGGGUUGCUGGAGGGGAGGAUUGUGGAGGGAUGGGGUAACUGGGUGAUGGACAUAAAGGAGGGCACGUGAUAUAAUGAGCAUGGGGUAUUAUAUAAGACUGAUGGAAUCACUGAACUCUACCUCUGAAACUAAUAAUACACUAUAUGUUAAUUAAUUGAAUUUUUUAAAAAAGGAAUGCUUGUCAGAGAUUGAUGAGUAUUUCCUUCAAAAUAGAGGUCUGCAGCACUGUUUAUUACUGUUCUCCAUUAUAGACAGGUUCCUCUGUAAGCAGCACACCAUAGCAGUUGGAAUUUCCUCUGGUAUGAGAGCAGUAGUUGAUGAAAGCCAGAUACAUGUUGCGAACAUGUGAGAUCUGGAGGGUCCCAGGAGAGCUGCAGAGAACAGAUGAAGACUCCAAGGUCUUGCAGGUGGAGUUAAAGUUCUCCAGACAUGGAGAAAAUUCCACACAGAGGGAACAGUUUAUGCAAAGAUUAUAUUUUUUAAGGACCUGCAAUCAACAUAGUUGGAAAAGGUAAAAAAGGAGAAAGAACCAGUUUCCUUCUCAGCUCUCCCCAGGCAAAUUAGAUUUGCUUCUGGAUUUAACAUUCUUAGUUUUAAUGUGGAUGAAACAGAUUUGUGUGUUUCUCUAGUUUGGGCUUUCACUCUGCUCUUUGAAGCCUCGUCUCUGAUAAAAUACAACAUUUCUGGGCAAGGAGGAGGCAGGAAAUUAAGGGAAAGCAUCCUCUAAAAAAAAAAAAUGUUGUUUUUAUUGUCCAGACUUGCUCCCUUACAAUUUUUGAAGUACCCUAAAGAAGUAUUUAAAACUCCAACCUAAAGAGAUUAUUAGAUUAUUCAUAAUGAAUCUGUCCUUCAGAGGACAUAAUUUAUUUGUAUUUCCCUGGGCAACAUUUAGGAGAAGCAAGCAGUUCAAAACCUGAGAUGGAUUUUCCUCUUAUUUGUUAUUUCUACAGUUGACAGAUCUUUUUGGCUAAGCAGGGAUUUGGCAAUGUUGGGUUCUUGAUUCCAGCUUUUUCAAAGUACAGUUAAGGAAAAUUGUAAUUCUGAGGCGACAUACGUUUGAAACCUCAUUUGGCCCCUCUUACCUCAUUCAUUAGAGCAAGAAGCACUCUGGCUGGAGAUCACAUGCUGUGGCCCAGAGAGAGGGUGACUGUUAUUUUGUUCUCCGACUGACCGGGCCUCAGAGCGGGGUGGAGAAGGACUGAAAAUAGUCAUUUCUUGGCAGCACCGGUCAGGCAGGAGGGCCUCUCUAACAUGGGUCCAUUUACAAGUGAGAAAGAGAAACAAGCUCUCCGGAGGUUGGCCUGGCCAGUUACGGUGGAUACUAUGAGAACAGAGUUUUACAGAGAUUUCGAUUUAUUGUUUACAUUUGUUCAAAGAUUAAACUGAAGUGUGCUCUUCUCUUCUAAGUUUGAGUUUUCAAUUUGUUUUCAAGUUAGCAUCCCCAGAACCCAGUUCUCUCCCAAAUGUAAUGCCGCUUUCCUCCCUAGGUAUAAAAUGCAUGUUAACUCGGCCAACUUUCUCAGGAAAGUCAGACAUCCGUCUGCUUUCUUUCACUUAUUCAACGGAUGUUAUUAAAUAAAGUGUUAUGUGCCAGACACUGCCAAGAAUAGGUAUAUUAUAGAGAUUUAAGUAUAUCUUAAAAUCUAAGAUGAAUUAGAAACUGCUUUUUUCUGCAACAAACAUAUAUUCAAAACUAAGACAUGAUGCUGGAAGUCAGAAUCAG
rnacentral:lncRNA from 1 species